rnacentral:rRNA from 1 species
UACGGAGGAUGCAAGCGUUAUCCGGAAUGAUUGGGCGUAAAGCGUCUGCAGGUGGCAUUGUAAGUCUGCUGUCAAAGCGUCUGGCUCAACCAGAUAAAGGCAGUGGAAACUACAUAGCUAGAGUAAGGUAGGGGUAGAGGGAAUUCCUGGUGUAGCGGUGAAAUGCGUAGAGAUCAGGAAGAACACCGGUGGCGAAAGCGCUCUGCUGGACCUUAACUGACACUGAGGGACGAAAGCUAGGGGAGCGAAUGGG